GAGUUUGAUCCUGGCUCAGGAUGAACGCUGGCGGCGUGCUUAACACAUGCAAGUCGAACGAAGCAUGUAAAACAAUCCUUCGGGUGCGUUUUAUAUGACUGAGUGGCGGACGGGUGAGUAACGCGUGGGGAACCUACCGUAUGCAGGGGGACAACAGUCAGAAAUGACUGCUAAUACCGCAUAAGCACACAAUGCUGCAUGGCAUGGUGUGAAAAGAUUUAUCGGCAUACGAUGGCCCCGCGUCUGAUUAGCCAGUUGGCAGGGUAAUGGCCUACCAAAGCAACGAUCAGUAGCCGGCUUGAGAGAGUGACCGGCCACAUUGGGACUGAGACACGGCCCAGACUCCUACGGGAGGCAGCAGUGGGGAAUAUUGCACAAUGGGGGAAACCCUGAUGCAGCGACGCCGCGUGAGUGAUGAAGUGUUUCGGUAUGUAAAGCUCUAUCAGCAGGGAAGAUAAUGACGGUACCUGACUAAGAAGCUCCGGCUAAAUACGUGCCAGCAGCCGCGGUAAUACGUAUGGAGCAAGCGUUAUCCGGAUUUACUGGGUGUAAAGGGAGCGCAGACGGCAGGGCAAGUCUGAUGUGAAAGUCCGGGGCUCAACCCCGGGACCGCAUUGGAAACUGUCCGGCUAGAGUGCAGGAGAGGUAAGUGGAAUUCCUAGUGUAGCGGUGAAAUGCGUAGAUA
rnacentral:rRNA from 1 species